UUGCCCCUCUUGACAAAGUUACAUAGGUGCUUCCCACUCUUACGUUGUCUCUUUCUUUACUCUCUUCCUAAGAUAUUAAAAUGGUACCCCUGUGACUCCUCGUUGCCUCGCUACAGAUGCAUAAUAUUCUUAGCUAACAGAAGGAGGAAACAAGUCAGCUAAACAAAGGAGAUAAAUAUGGCCUUUUGAAGAGCAGCCAUGGCAGAGUGCUAUAUAGGACUAUGGAGAAUUAUCAACAGGCUUUUGCUUUAGCAAAUGUCAUGCUACCAGAAGAAUGGUGCAGUUUGCAGAAUAUUGUGAAGAUGCAGCUUGUCGAAUAAAGAAAAACAACCUCACCUCCGGAAACGUGGUUUUUUCUGUUUCGGUGGCAUCCAGCCAGUACCCUCUCAUGAGGAAGAAUCAAUUUGCAAGGUAUUGAGAAAAACCUGGGGCUCUGCCUUGGAGAGGUGACCACCCAUGAAAACAACUGACAUGAAAAGACUGCAAGAUGAGCUGUCAUCUUAGUAAAUUGGAAGGAGAAGGGCGUGAAGGCAGAGAGUGGCCGUGGAUUUAUUUUCAAGACGGCUAUGGAGACAGGCAGCUCCCAUUCAGCAGGAUGGUCUUUGUGUCUGGCUGACCUAUGGACAGAAUGUGUCUCUUGCAUUUCCCGACCCGAGGUGUUAAACCAGCGCAGCUCGGUGCUAUGGCAUGUGGUCUUACUGGUCCUCCCCUGGCUCUUUUGGGGCCUGCAGCCUGUGCUACAGAAGCUGGUUUUGUGCAUUUGCUGGAGUAGCAGUUAGCGAGCAGCAGUGUCCUGAGCAGCCCGAUACAUCCCAGCUCCUGGAGGGGUGAAGGGCCCCAACUCGCUGCGGCAGCGCCGUCCCUUCCUCUGAGCCGUGUCAGCACUGAACUUGGAUGGGAGGAGGCUUAGUGACCUGUCCCCAGAUCAGCCUUGAACACUCAAAGAAAAAUCUGCCUGCUCUGAAUAUUGCCUGAGGAUUUAGAAAGGUCUUUCCUCAAAACAGAAGAAUGAGAUGAAACAAUCAUCUGUAAAGCAUGAUCUGCAUCUGCUCUUGUCCCUCUUCUGUUCUCAGAUCACCCUUUGGCUUCCCUUAGGAAUCCAGCUGUGUCAUCACGUUGUGUGGCAUCCUAAUAUUUCAUACUAAGCUGUAAGCCAAUUAGGAAUGACUACUUACCAUGCUGAAUCAUAGGAAAAGUAUAAUGUGUCCUUCAUGUAACAAACCUCCUCUUUUUUGGCAAGACAGAUAACCUACACAUUAUAUUUAUAAGCCCUAUGGCUUUUCACGAUACCCAAUUAGGAUGCAGCUUCCUUUCACACUGCUGCAGUAUUUUAAGGGACUUGUUUACAGAUGGAUGCUUAUUGAAAGUGCUGACCUACCACCAUUAUACCUUAUAACAUCUUUCAUCUGCAGAGACCGAAGCACUGGACAAAACUUGAUGUUGUAAUCACCUUUAACAGGAUGAGAACAUGAGUGCAGCAAAAUAUAAACACCUUAUCCCGAGUUCCUAAACGAACCGCUGACCCUGGAUGAGGGUGCAAACAUGAUCACGUGCCACCCAGAACUGAGGGAAGUGUCAAUUAAAGUCAGACUGUAAAAUAAAGCCUGUUGUAUCUAGAAAGAAGAAGGAUGAACCACUGAUGUGGGUAUUUGCUUGAGGUACUGAAGAGGCAGUUGGAGAAUCAGCGUAUGGAUGUGUGAAGUGGUUAGUAAUUAGCAUCAAAGAGAAAGAUAUUAAAAUUUAUUUCCCAUGCUGAAGUAAUUAAUGGGCUAUUAUGCCAGGUGUCUAAGCUGCCCGGAGGUCUGGGAUAAAUAGCAUUACAGCAGAAGAUGCAAAAUAUGAUUUAAGGUGAAAUGGAAGGAUGUUCUAGCAGAGCACUCAGGAUGCCCCCCUUCUCCAAAUGCUGUUGCUUUUUCCUAAGUCGCUAAGUAGCCGCUGAUGGUAUUUAUUACCUGGGAAGAGAUGUGCUGCUUUACAUUUGUCUUUGGAUCCUAGCAGUGUUGCAAACUGAAGGCUCCCGCGACCUGUGCCUGACACCUGCGUCUUUCACGUCUCAUCUAAUCUUGUCAGGCUGCACCGCGGGGUGAGCAGGGCAGCACCCGAGUGGCAGCACCCUGUCCCCACAGAGGCCAGGUAGCUACCUACCACCCUCAGGCGACAGAUAUGACAUCCAGAGUUAAGGACUGCAUUCAGAUAACAACCCUGGCUGCGGAUAUGUCUAGGAAGAAAGGAUUUUCUCAGAUUCAGCUUCCCUAAAGCAUCUCCCAAACCAAGUCCAGCCAUUUUUGUUGUUUCUGCUGCUAACAGAGAUUGGGGCUGAACAAAGCGUGGGAGCCUCUGGGUUAAGGCUUCUUCAGCAAGGUCUGGCCAUCCAUUGCUAGGGUUCAAUUUGCUGCUUCACUGAUCACAUCCCCUUUGCAUUCCCUCCCAAAUACCUCGGGGACAAACAAGUUUUCCCUCAACCUGCCAGGAGAGAGCCGUGGUGAUUCACAGCACUGACAUCUGUGGCCGAAAGCAUAACUGCGGGCAGCUGUAGGGGAUCGGGGAGGUUCUGCCAUGCUGAGGAGUCCCACCUGGGCUCAGCAAGGCUGAGGACUCAGGUGUUUGUAGUGAACUCUGGUGGUAAGGUAGAACAAAGGAAGUGGUGAUGUAAUUCUCUCUUCAUAUGGAGGAUAAAGCUUAGGAUAUUUUUCUUGCUAAGAGAAACCUUUGAAUAUGCUUAAAAUCUCGCCGUCCCUGUGACGGGCCUUAUUAGCACUCAGAGGAGGCGGCGUGGGUUGGAUGGCGGUAACAUGUGCUGUUCUGCUGCACACAGAAUUGUGCCUUGUGGAGGAGACGUCAGAGCUGACCUUGGCAUGCACCUGCUGGAUGUCCAGAGGAAUCGGCCCAGUGGCCAGCCAGCUUUCUGCAGGCCAUGGCCAAGGACUUCUUGCUCAACAUGGGACCUCCAGAUCAGUCUGGGAACAGGGGAUUAGGACCCUGUGGACGCCUAAGCAGAUGGAUAUAGCUACCUUGAACACGUGGGGGAGAUUGUCUCAAAUGUCAUCUAAAAAUUGCCAAGUGACACUCUGCCUUGCCAGCGUGCUGUGCUCUAGGAUGGAUGAAAAUCAAAUGCUCCAGACCAGGCUAUGUACUUAUCUCAGGAUCUUCCCUCCGUUCUUACCGCUUACAUCUGUCUGCUCCUGCGGCACCAGUCUGCCUACGAAGCCAUAAAGAAAACAGAAGAGCAUCGUGUGUCUGUCUGAUAACCCCCUAGCUGUGGGACUCCCAGGAACAGGAGCUGAUGUCCAGAACUCAGCGGGCUCUCUGGGACUAUGGCUGGUGAGUCAGCUCUCUUGAAUGAAAACCGGAGCGAUCUGCACUCUUGCACUGCUGUUCACACCCGGCACGAGCCAUAAAGUGGGCUGCAACCUUUCAGUGCUGGCUCGGGGCUUCGCAGCAGCGUAGGUAAAAUGAGGUCAAAGCAGCGCAGCCUGGAGGAGAGCCCUGGAGAGCUGCGCUGUUGGGAGGGAAGCUGCUGCUUCAGCUGGGCAGCAUCUCCUCCCUGCAAACACAGCCACAUUUCUAUGUGCACCUCUCUCGUUUGGUGCCAGCAUGUAGGAAAAGGAAAACUGCUUCUGGCUUUGUAGAUACCUUGCUGGUCUCUUCUUUCUUCAGCACCUGUGAAGGAGCCCAUCCCCAGGGUCAGUGGCCAUCCUGGGCAGUGGUCUUCACGUCUGCUGGGAGCUCUGUUAAUAUUCAGGCUGCAAUUUAUUUUUUCACAUUUCCCUCCUCCUUACCCUGAGGUCGUAAAAUGUUUUUUUUUUUUUUUUUUUUUUUUUUCAGGCAGUGCCAUAGUAUGAAGAAAUACAAACUCAUGUCCUCCUGUUGCAAUAUAAUCUGCUGGUGGAAACCACGUGGAUGUUUUGAAAGACCGGGGGUUUCUUCACAGCUCAGACUGAUUAGUGUGGCUGAAAUGGGACUAGAAUCACAGAGCAACUGCCCUGCGUUGCCACACGGAUGUGAUGAAAAAUGACCCCACAGUUCAUCAGAAACACAACUCAGCCUUUAACGCACUGGGCUAAUGCCUUGGGAUGCUGAAGGAAACAUCUCAGAGAUGGGGGGAGAGGGAAGGAAAUUAAAUCUAGAAAAUAGCCAGCGUAGCAACUGCAGAGCUUGUGACGGGCUUCCAGGUUGAAAAAAGGAGUCCUGGACAGUUUUUUGCAGCUGCAGUGUUGUGACCUUGGAGUUGCAAUGACCUGGGCACACAUCUUAGCCUUUUAUCUGAGGCUUUAUCUGAGGAAAGAAACAGGCAGUGCUUACUCACGUUUGUGUUUCUGGGAUGCCACCCAAGCUGGGAGGGCUGUAUCUCAGUGUGGUCAGCAGGCUUGGAAAGGUGGGGUUCGCGCCACGCUGCUGGGAGUUGUCUCUUGGUGUCCUGGCUGUCUCCAGGAAUGAAAACUUUGCAUUUCCCAGAAGCGAGGCUUGUGUUCACGCAGCACAGAGAUGGCUGCCUCGUGAGGCUGCGAGAUAUCUGUCAGAGAAACUUUCUGUGGGCUAACCUAACCCUCACAGAUGUGACUUGCAAAAAGGAAAUCUUUUUCUCCGAAAACCAUCUCUGGUUCCUCUUUCACUCUCAGUGCCUGCAGCACCGAGCACUGGGGGGGGCACAGCCAGGGCUGGACCAAACCCCCUGAGCUCUGGGGCCAGGCAGCAGUGAGCCUGGCUGUGCCGCGGGGAGCGGCUGAGAGCCCGGCUGGGAUGCAGCCCCGCACGGGCUGGCUGAAUGAGUGGGGCAUCCUCGACCCGUGAGCACUUUCAGAUUUUUUUUUUCCUGUAAAUCUAAUUUUUUCCCCUGUUUUUACAAGUUCUUUUGUUUCACAGCCUCGAGUUGCUGCAGCCUCACAAGGCAGAUCGUUAGGAGCAGCCGUGUGAAAUUGUGAUCAAGUGGCACUGGGCAGGAGGUUGAGUUAUUGCUGUUGGCUUCCAGCAGAAUUUUGUAAAAUUGCACAAAAUUGGAGGCUUAUUUUUAUUUUAAGGCAUUAUUUAACAUAAAAGGAGGGUAUUUUAAUAAUGAUUAAAACUAUUUAAUGGAGUUUAUCACAUAAUUAAGGACUUCUCUAGAAUUAUAUUUGAGCAAAUCCUUGGCAAAAUUGUAUUUAAAUUCCAAACAACUUGUUCUCAGCAGUAUUAUUUCUAGAUUUCAUAUCUUUUCAAAAUUUUUUUCUCAGUUGCAUCAGCCAGUUAGAAAAUGCUUAACACUUUAACCCCGUCAGAUUUCCUACAAGACUUGCUGUUCAUUACACUGCUGUCAGGUCCUUGCGAUUUCAGCUGACUGUGAUUAAUAAUAUUUAAUUUUAAUUACUCGAGGUACAUUUCUUGUUUUUUUCAGAAGUGUGUUUGUCACUUGCAGAAAGCACCAUUGACUCUCUAAUUUUCCCCUGGGGGAAUUAAUCCUGCCGGGUUCAUAUUUUAAGCUCUGUGGGACCAGAGAGGACUGGACUGCUUUGCUUUGCACCCAGCAAUGACCACUUCAGCCUGUGCAGUAUUUGUCUUCUCUGCCGGAUUGUGUGAUUCUCAAAGCAUUAACGUGGUAGACAGUUAAACGAUAUUUAAACUACCUUAGGAUUCGGAUGACUGCAAAACCCGAAACCUCUGUGGGCUCACAUAUGCUUCGCUGCGCUUGCAGCACACAGCCGGCAAUCUGUGAAACAGCCCAUCGCCGAUGGAAACACAAACAAGGGCUGUCAGAAAAUUUCUGUUCAAAGGUCACUGGUAAAUGAUAGACACUUAAAUGCUGCUUUGUCUCUGUUCCACAAGCUGGAAAAUAAUAGGAUUGGAUUUUGAUCAAGAACUCUGUUUUAUUCCCUCCAGACAUUAGCUUUGUGGUACCCUAAGGUGUAUGGUUGAUAGUAAAGGAAGAUUUUUGAUGGUUCUUUUUUUUUUUUUUUUUAAAUCAGCUAUUUAUAUACAGUGAGCACUGUUGGUUUUGGCUGGGAGUCAGUGUGUUUCUCCCGAUGCUUACCAAAGCCUGAAAGCUGAGAUUGCUCCAGACCCUCUAAUAUCCGAGCUCCCUGUGUGCUUCUGAUACUGUCAGCUGGGGCAGAUCAACACACCAUCAGUGAACGUGGGGAUUUUGGUUUUCUUUUCAAACAAGGGCACUGCAAAGGUCCUUCCACAGUGAGCCCAGUGAGCCAGUUUCGGAGCAGGGAGCUGUGGAUGGUGCUCACACCUCUGAGCUGUGGAGAGGAGUCUCCUGGCCGGCAGGACGGGAGCAGAGUCGUGUUAGCUGUGGGCUGGAGCUGCAGAAGUCUUCCGAACCUUUUUGACUCAGUUUCAGGGUAUUUCCUAAGGGACCAUUUGAAUGACCUGGAGUCUGUAUCCCCAGAGAGGCACCUGCCCUGCUGCAGGAGGCUGAGCUGGGGUGUGUUGGUGCACCGUUCUUUUCUUGUUCACAGGCUGCAUCACAGAUCAGCUCCUGCUCUUGUAGGUUCCCAUUCAAUUUAUGGGUCUCGUCAUGGCUUUUAACACCCAAAUAGCUGCCUCAGACACUUCUCACGCUGUCCAGCCCAGUUUCCAUCAGUGCAAACUUUAGCCCUUAAUCUGCCUGAAAACAGGGUUGUUUCCAUCUGGAUGGUCACAUCCAAGAACAGUUUCAGCUUAAGAACAGUGUUUCCAUGUAGGGCCAGAUUCUGCCACUAUAUCUGAGACCUCAGAAUUAUUCCAUGUUAGGGAUCAGGACCCCAUGUGCAAGGUGCUGUACCAAAAUAAGACAUACAGGUAGCUCCUGUUUUAUGGACAGUGUGAUAUAAAUUUAACAGCACGUUUUUAGGGUAUGUCCUUGCUCCUCUUCACUGACAAGAUCAAGAUGAUCUUCAAGUGAGGAGUGAAAUGAUCCAUAUUCUGCAGAAGGGGAAGAAAAUGUUUUUUUUUUUUAAUGCAGAAGAAAAGUCCUUUUUGUUUUCAAGAGGUAUUUCAUUUUCAAGAAAGCCCAUUCCCUCCUGUCCACCUGUACUGGGUCUUCUUCAGCUCCAUCUUUGUGCAGCACAGUAUUGCACCCUGGCCUGAUCCAGUAGCUGAAGUGAGUAGUGAAGGCGUCGUGUUUGGAGGUAAUUAAAUGUUGCUGCUCUCAGCCCUUGCCCAACAGUGUACCCUGUACACGAUGUGCCUUACCGGAGACUUCGCCCUGCGUUUUAGCGUCGUUUGGUCAUUUCACUUCUAAUAGGCCUUCCACUUCCAUUGCAUCCCCUGAGUAAUGCCUGCGUGGAGAACAGUGCAGUAACUGACUUCUCCCUAAUCUGAUUUCUGAUUCUUAGUGGCCUGGGUAGACCAGCAUUAGUUUGCUAUUUCAAUCUGAUCCAUCAGCCCUUUGCUGCACAGGGCUGCUCUUUUAUACCACUUACGUGGUGAAAUAAAACCAGCUUGAUUCGGUUGGUCUCCAAAGCGAGGCCAACCAGGUCGUGUGUGUGCAGAGCAGAGACGAUUAACAGCUUCCCACUGUGCCAAACCGAGUGCAGGAGCUGAGCAAAGAGGUCUGCUGUAGGCCAGGAGCUGCUGGGGAGAAAAGGGGCCUCUGCAGGCUGUGAGCGGAGUGUGUGAUGCAAUGUGGUGGGAACUGCUGAUGCACUGAAUUAAUGCUUUGUUGUCUGGCUGCUGGCAGGAUUCUCUUGAUCCCUUUAUCACCAGUUCUGCAAUUAAUGGCUAAUUUCUGAAUGCACUUUGAAAUAGAAAUCCAAAGAAACGUGCUGCUUCUAAUGUGUGUGAUGGAAGUUAGUUAAGUCAGUUAUUAGGUUAUAGCUGACAACAGAGUGCCAAGGUGGGGAUUGGUAUGGUUUUGGGGAUGGAAGAUCAUUGCUCUCUCCUUUACAGAGAGAUAUUCUUCUCCCUGCUGUCCUAGUCCUUGCUGGUGGAUUGUAGUCUGGAAAGAGAGAAAACUGACAGAAGGAAGGUACAAUAGUCUGUCCCGAAUUAAAGGAACUGAGUUUGGUGGAAGGAUGCUGCCAUUCCAUCAGAAGGUCCUUCCUGGGAAUUAGGUGAGGUUGGUAAUUCCUGGGAAUUGGGUUAGUUUGGGCAUGUGCCAGACUCGUGGGCUCCUGAGCCUGGAAGGAUGUUGCAGACAGACACAGUCAUUACCACCUAACCUUUCCUUCAGAGCAGCUGGCUCAGGAAAGGCACAAUGGGGCAAAUCACAGCGCUGACAAUAUAAUGAGACAAGGGUCGGGGUAAGAAUAGCUUUGGGACCAGUGAUUUGACUUGCUGGAUCCUGGAAAAGACCUGCUUGAGUCUGAUGGAAUUUGGAUGCGUUCCCGAUUCCCUUUGAGCUUCCCCUUUCUCAUGGCUCACUGUCAGAUCUGCUUGUUGCUCAAACCCACUGAGAUUUCUUUACUUGGCAUUGCUGGACUGCAUGUCCAAACCGAGACCUGAAAUUCCUCCAUCCUCCCUCGCUCUGUCCACCGGCCCCAACCUGCACGAGAGCACAUGAUCUCCUGUACUUCAGUGAAUUUGCCUAGCAGAGCAGGAGGAUGGAGAAAACAGCCUGUUUCUUCCAUGUUCGACGUGUGUGGCUGACAGUGGUGAUAUUCUACUUGUCUUUUUUGUCAGCAAACAAAAACCAGACACGUUUUGGAGUGAUUUUUCAAGGGCUAUGAUCUCAAAGGCCUCUCACAGCUUUGCAACCUCUUUUGCAAACUCCAAGAGCUUUGACAGCUCCUGGGUAGGAUUGCACAGAGCUUGGAGUGGCAUGUGCCAAAGUCAUCCUGCUGCUUGUGUCACCCGUUUCAAUGCACCAGCAGCUCUCAGCCUGCCUGCACAACCCAGGUCUGAAGUGAGGGCGGAGGUGUGCAUGGGAAAAGUUGCAGGCUGGGGAAGGGUGGAUUGUCCCACAAAUUGCCUGUCUCCUUCUGUCAUACGCCAGCAUCAAAGGUCUCCGCUGUGACCUCUGAGGACAGCUGUGCUUAGCACGGGGAUGAAACUGCCUGUGUGACAAAUUUUUACGAGCUGCGCCUUGGCACUCUGACCAGACUUAGGAUCUGGGAAGGUGGCUAGGUUCCUUUCCGGCAAAGUCACCAAUAAGUUGGUGUGAGUCAGGAGCUUUAUGAAUACCUCGUUAACUGCACUUUUCUCUAGCUUGGCAUCAGUCACAGAAACGUGACGGAGGUAGACACGGGGUGAAAUGGUUCCUUCACUGCUCAGAAGCUAGUGCUGCUCGUGGCCCGUCCCUGUCCCUCUCAGCAGCCAGCGAGCAGGACAGGGAUGUAGGAAUUCCCUGACUUCCUCGUGGGCCACGAGAAGUAACAACUGCUAUAUUGGGAUUGUGGGCUGACUCUAGGAUUGGUGGAUACGUGUUAGGAGGAUUACUGUAAUGCUGUUCAAAUGUUUGGAGAUUUGGGUAUAAAGGCUUAAACCUUGGCUUUUAUAAAGGGAUUGAACCUGGGUGUCUGAAGCUAAGAGCAGAAGAAUUUAGUACCAGAUAGAAAGAACUAUGAGAUGGGUAAAAGUGGUAGCAGACUGUACACAGUGAAUUUGGUACAGAGCAGGACAAUGUAAUAAGGAUCGAUCAGUAAGCUGUAUUUGGAGAGUUUUCCAGGACAGGCUUAUGAGAAGGACAGAGAGCUGUUAAAAUCGCUGCCCCCUUUUUGUGUCUGUCCCCGACACCAAAAGCUUUAGGGCAGGGUGCUUGAAUGUUGUGGUGCUUGCAAGGUCUGGAGCCAAGAUCUGAGCCAGGGGGUGUCCACCCAUCAUAUUCCACUUUUCUGCCCCAAAGCUCCUUUAUCUGUUCCCUCAUGUCACAGGUAAAGAGAAGACUAUUCGGUAGCCUACACAGCAGCACAGUCUUACGCCUGUUCUCCAUUUCCAAAUCUUUGUCUCUGUUGCUCUACUUAUGGGCGGAUCACAAAAAUAAUUACCUAGAUUAACCAAGCACCAAAACACCCUAAGUGAUCGUCUACUCCAGAGAAUAACAAUGAUUAGGUCUUCGUCUUUGCUUAUCUCGGGUUCCCAUCCUUAAAAUAAGGGCAGCAAUAUUUUUCCUUUUAUAAGAGCAGGACAGACUUGUUCACGUUUGAAGCAUUAAUUGUUGUUGUUAUUAUUACUCACACGGAUGACAGGGCAGCACCUAAUGAACGCUGGGUUUGGUACAAUAGGCCGUGACUGCUAUUGUUGUGACUAAGGCUGCGUGAGUUGGCUGGGCUGCCUGUUUACACCGAUGCCAGCCCCACCACCUAGCUGCGGUCCCUUUCUAGCUCUGCGGCCAGGAAGUUCUUCUGGUGCUGCUCGGUUUGUAUCACACCUCUGUCCUCUCAAAAGGCAGCAGCCCUGCUCGUGCUGGAGAGCAUCUCGGAACUGGAGCCGCUCAGUGUGUUUUCUUACUGCCUGGCGGUGGCAGAGGUUGUCUGCAGCAUUUUCUUUUCCUUUCUGCUUUAAAAGACAUAAAGGGGGAAGCGGCUCUGACUUCCAGCUGUUGAUUUCAGAUGUUUGCCGCAGCGUGAGUCCUUUGGGUUGUUAGAGAGCCAGCGCAGAAGAAACAAUUUCCUUCCAGCGUGUCCUUGCUCUAAGACCAACCAUUGCUCACUGUUCCAUUCUCAGACAACGUUUCUAUUUAUAUUCCUUGAUAAUUCGCUGGGCGUGCCCUGGUGGGCAAGUGGGGUGACAAAAUGGGACGCCACGUGUGUGUAGGUGGGGCAGUCGGAGUGGCAUCUUCUCUGCUGUUUCCCCCAGCUGAUUCCUGUUGCUGCUUCCCCUGGCCAAAGCCACCACACGAAGCAAGAGCAGCCUUACAGAUGAGCCCUGCCCAGCCCCGACAGGCCGAGCCGCACGAACCACGCAGCCCUCUCCCUCCCUCUGGGGCCACCUCUUCCCGGCUGCUGCUGGCCCGCAGCCCACCCCUCCGCCCCCACAGCCCCGCAGAGGGUUUUGGUGCUCCCCCCUCCCGCCUCCGUGUGAAUGUUCCAGCCAAAGGCCACCUCGGAAGGCUGGCCGCGUGGCGCCUUGCGUCAGUCCCCGCACGGCUCAUGAUUCAGCAGUCAUACGGGUUUCGUACCUGGGAGGGCCGUGCCAGAAACCACAAGUGUUCCUAAGCCAGGAACAGCAAAAGGAACUGGGAGUUUCCACGCAGAAACCCGACAAAGUCUGCAGCAGGUUUUCUUGUAAAUCAGUUGCAUUACAUUGCCAAGAGACUGGAUGAGAGGAAGAAAACGGGCAUCUGGAUUUGUAAAGCCCAGAAAGCCUGAGAUCUUCUGGAGAACAAAAGUGACACGUCGCUGCUCUGAAGUCUGUUAAAAGGGAGCAAAACUCCUACUGGAAGUGAGGCUACGAAACCAUUAAGGACUUGGGGAAAAUCCCAGGCUGUGAGAUCAAUUACAACACUCCUGAGGUGCAUGGGAGCAAAAUGCAAACAUCUCUGCGGGCGUCAGCUUGGAUAUCAUUACUCAAACAAGUGUUGGCACAGCAGCAGUCACUGCGGCGUGCGAGCCGCGUGUCCUGGUGCCAGAGCCCAGGCAGAAGGGCUGCCCGGCUGCUGCCGGGGCUCACCCGAGCAGGGGCAUCUCCUGGCGUCCCGCGAUGCAUCCUGCCAGCCCUGGCUGCCGUCGAGCCAGGAACGCGUGCCAGCCAUGGCAAGAUUGCUUCUCACUUAGCGUAGCAGGGGCUGGGACCCGGCCUUAUUAAUUUCAUUCAGCCGUUGGCUCAAACGCGUAGAGCUGGCACGGAGAGCUGUGACAGCGAGUGCUUGUGCUGCGAGCACAGGAAGCCUUGUUCCCUGCCUGCAUCCUGCCCGUUUGCCGCCCCCUGCUCUGUGCAGGGAUUUAAGAGCAAUACAUUUCGGUGCAGGGAGGAAGGGAAGGACUGAACAGCUGAGGGUUGGCAAGACAAUAGCUGCUCUUUCACUCGGGGUUUGUAGCUGUGACGUAGCCAAGAGCAGUGGCUGGCGUGCAGCUGUUUGGGAGAAGGGAGCUGUGAAGAUGGGAUUGAAGGAGUGGGAGGGAGGGCUGGCUGCAGCCGGGGCCGUGGGCCGUGGUUUGCGCUCAGGCAAAGUGGCACCACCGUAAAUGAAUGGAGAGAGGGGCAGGGGAUGGUAGAGAACCAAGCCCGGUCUAUCCCCAAAUGCCAUCCUGCGUUAAACGAAAACAUCCCAGGCCAAGGCUGAUGUCGCUGACCUUCUGGCCAGGCUGUUCUCUCUCCUGCCUUUCUCCUCCCCUCCCAAAGCAAGCUUUUCUAGUGUAUCCAGCAGCGUGGGUUGCAGGCAGAGACGGGGAUCCCCUUGAACUGUGAACUCUUACAGGCACAGGAAUCCUCCCUAAAUAGCCUUCAAGUUGUUCUCCCAACAUGCCUGGAUUGUAAAUGUUUGCCAGCUCCACAGAAGGGCUGCCUGGCUGUGAUCAAACAGAAGGCUUAAUGAUGGGAGAUGUAAAUGACUGCCAUGGUUGCUGGUCAAGGAGGAUCAGCACAGCAGUGGGAGGUGGAUUCACGUGGAGCUGCUCUGUGCUAGAGGCAGGGGUUGGAGUGGGGCAGGGGGAUCCAGCUGUGAUGCGCACCGAAGCAUUUGGGGGUGAUGUAUCGGCUCUUCUGAGCCCGGGGCGCAAAAUGUACCUGCAUGGCUUCAGCAGAACUCUGAGCUCUGGCAGUAUCUGGUGUGGCUUUGGAAAAGUUGCAUUUGAUAAAUAAUUGGAAGCAUAAAUUGUGUGCAGGAGUGCAGGAUGGUGCUCUUGCCACUGCUGAGGCUUCCCUACCAGCUCCUGCAGUGCGUAGCCGAAGGAUUACAUCCCUUUCCCUCAUGCCAGUACUCUCUGUUGUAUGACAUGUUUGAUAGUGCAGUGUCGGGAAAAAAAAUACAUACCUGGCACCCAUCCAAGAGCUAUUUAUAGUAUGAGUUCCUAGAAGAAAGCGUGAAGACUUCAGAAAAGGAGGAAUUGCCAAAUGAUCCUGUAGAGAGCAGCAAAUUAACCCCUCCAACACCACCAGCUCCAUGUCCUAGUAAGAAUCGGUACCACGUGGCUUCCUGAAGGAAACACCGCCAAGAAUCAACAAGGACGGCUUAGGAGUCCUGCAUGAAACCGCCACGUUACAGGCAGCGGCCUUGCAGAAGGUGAUGCAAGCUUUUUGUCCUUCUGACAAAUCCUCUAGAAAUAAAGCCUGAGGAAACAAAGACUACGUUCUCCCGUGACAUCGGCAUUGACGCUGGCAGUGUCAUUGAAGACGCCUCCACUAAGGAAUCCAUCAGGUGUUGGUUGGCACAUCGGUGAGGUGUGAGAUACGGCCCUGCUUCGUAUAGUCGGAGUGUGUUUGAAUAUCAGCUACACCGUACCCUGGACAGCGGUAAUUAACAGAGCAUCCCUGCUUCAGGCCCUGGUGGACAAGCGUCCGCAUGGCAACUGAGAGUCUUGGCUGAAAAGGUGUGUGUUCAUGUUUCCCAGAAGCUGAGGUCCCGCUGUUCACGACGUACAGGCACCGCAAGUUCUGACCGGAAGAUGCCUACGACAGAAGGUGGCCUUAAGGUAGAAGGGGGAGUGGAGGACCUUCUUACCAUAAAGCUGGACUGUGAUAAGGAAGUGAUUUAGGGAAGUAGUGAUUGUCCCUCUGUACUCAGCACUGGUGAGACCGCACCUUGAGUACUACGUCAGUGCUUGUUGUGGGCACCCCACUACAAGCAAGAUACUGGUUUGCUGGGACGCAUUUGAGAGAGCGGGGUGAAACUGGAGAAGGGACUAGAAACAUGACAUAUGAGGAACGGUCUGCUGGAACUGGGGCUGCUGAGUCUGAAGAGGAGGCUGAGGGGAGACUUCAUCGCUCUCUCCCUAUAACCACCUGCAUGGGAGGUUACAGCAAGGAAGUGUCACACUUUGUCAUCACCUGAGUCUGCAGCAGGGCCUCUCCCUGAAGGUGUGUGCGGGGAACGACCAGCUGCGUUCCCAUCGCUGACAGGAGGCAUUGCCCUGCCCGAGUCACCCGCGUGCCCGACGCUUCCAGCAGCUGCUGCUUCCUGCAUUUUUUCUAUCCCUCGUGAGCACUGGAAAGGAGCAGCCUGGUGCUUCCCCGCUGACUCAGGCUGAAGAUGGAUCAGGCCAGCGUUUCCCUGCUCAUCAGCCUCCUGCAUGAGCUGGCAGAGGUUUCCCAAAUGCGAUUCAGCAAGGAGAGGUACCAGAGAGGGAUGGGAUACAGUUGAGUAACGCUGCAGCUAUCCAGGCUGAAGGUUAAGAAGACUGAAAGUGGUGGAUUUGUAUCAAAACCAGCUCAGUUUCCCUACCUGGCAGUGGGACAACAGUGAAAUCAGAAAUCACAGUCUUACUGUCUUCAUAUCUGCAGAUGUAGCUCUACUGUCACUGCGAGCUGUUCCAGUGUUAGCAGGUGGCAGCAUUCACCACAGGUGCUCCACAUCUCCUCCAUGCCCUAACCAGAAGACCUGUUUACAGACAGGGAAACGGAGCCAACGAGCGAUGAUCCAAGUGCCACAAACCAGUGGCAGGCCAUCCAGAGCCCCCGAUUAGACCCAGCAGACCUAGUAACUUCUGCAGCUAUUACAAGCAGGAAGAAAGGGCAGGAGUGCUCUUAGGGGCCUAAUUGGAAACAGAGCUCCCAGUUUCCAAACUCUGAACUUUCACGAGUACUGCCUGGAUGUCAGAGCCCUUUCGUCAGAAACACCAGAGCCUUCUGGAGUGAUGGUCCCACUACUACAAAAUCCCUUUGGAAAGCUACAACAAUUAAACCAUCACUGGGUAAGACUGAAGCUUAGUUUUCAGAGAAGGCUAUCACAUCCCCAGGAUCUGUAAUGAGAGGUAUUCAGAAUACAGCCAGGCAAAGCUUUCUCUGGUGUAAAUUGCCAGAGGGUUACACUGAAUCAUAGCCAUGCACGAUCUGGUUUAUGGAUUUGUAUUUGCUUAAAAUAAUUAGGCUCAAAUGGUCUUAUAUGCAACUUCUGUUCAGAAAGCAGGAAAAAGCUUGGGAUGGGGACAGAGGGUGCCCCAGAAUGGAUGGGUCCAACCUAUGUACACAGACAGACAGACAGACAGACACACUUAUUCUGAAAGUCCUGAAACUGCUUAAGCAAACUGUACGCCUCCAACUCGCCGUCCGGUACAAGAACUGUUGUACUUCUUAAAACAGAAGGAAGUAAUCUCCCCUUAGUGCCUUAAUGGGCUCAUAAUGCUGUAACACUCAGAUAUUCAACCAGCUACUAUGAAAUCUGACUUCAGUACUUAGAGACCUUCACACAUUUUGCAGAGUUCAGGCCUGUUUGCUCUACUUGAAAAUACAGUAAGGUGUUCCUGUCCCUCCAUAAUAAAGCAAAACCCACACUUCAGAUUCCUACAGCUCAGAACAACAAACCAGCCAUGUAGCUCAGGAAAAUUAUUGAUACUUUGAGAGGGCUACAGCAAUGCACACCAAGAGGAAAGUUUUUCUGUACUUGAGGGAAGGCUGUCAGAACAGUAAUAUAGUAGAGUGAGCUGUGAAGAGUGGGAGAUUUAUGUGCCAAUUCUGUGUAUGAUUUAUUUAGAUGAAUCGUUUUUUAUCAAUAUGUAAAAAUCCAAUAAAUAUAACUCCCUAUACAAAGGGUUGCUCCAGUCCCAAUGUUUCAGUGGACAGUUUUGGCAGAAAGUCAGGAUGUGCAUUAAAAACACACUUUUUGAGAAGUCUAAUAAAUAAAAGCUCUGAAAUAUGGUUUCCUACUGAGAAAGGCAUUUUAAAUCAUUUUGAUAAAGAACCUAAAUUAGGCCUUAAAAGGAGGGGGAAGCUAGGUCCCUGUAACUAAUUAUUUAUAGGUAUUUUGAAUAUAAAAGUCCAAGAAAGCUGGCCUCCAUCCCCCAUUCUCUGCCACAAUAAAGGGGAAAGAAAAAGCCAUUCCCCUUCCCCCACCACUACCAAAUUUAAAGUCCAAAGUGUUAGAAAGGGGAGGAGGAAAACAGAAUGAAAAUGGGGAACAGGCACCUGAAGAAAACAAGGAGCUUCAGAAGUCCUGAAAAAAAAUCUGCACGUUUUGUACCAAAACAAACGAUACCAGUAGGGGACGGGCCUUCAGUUCUCCUCUGCAUUACUCAGGAGAAGUGGGCCAUUACCCACUCCAGUCCCCUGAAGAGGGAAUACACUGGUAUUUGUUAAGCACCAGAGGGAAUGGCUUUAGAAGCGAAUAAACAUCUGAAUAGCCCUAGUCCUUCUGAAAGUCAAAGCAAUUCAGAGCCUGCACAGAAGCUGAAACUGCUGGGGACUUGGGCUUCUAAGUCACUUAGGUGCUUCUGAGUAUGUUGGCCUGAGAGCGCAGCUGACAUUCUGCAUGUGUACAGCCACUCACAGGCCCUGCCUUGGAGGAUUUACGGAUUGGAGACCUGAAACCCCUCGUGGCAGAACCAGUGGGGCUGAAGAAGUGCUGAUGUGUUGGUGCAGGGGGUCUGUGGCUCCGCAGCAGUAACUGGCAGCACUCCGAACUGGAUCUCAAGCCAAGGCCAGCGACUCAGGCCCAGCUCACAGGCACACAGCUCUGUGUGGAAAGGCUGAGGAAUGAGAGACCAAUGCGUGAAAGCACAGUGUGUUAGAGAUUUCUGCCACAGUGGUUGUGCCUGUCAGGCGUCCUACCGAGGUUACUGAGUUACUAAUCUAAAAGACAUCUAGAAUUUCCCUUGCUGCUCUCAGCAGAUUGCUUCACCUCGUACUCCUUUCUGCCGCCAUGCGUGGUCGUCUCUCAGGUCUCUGCACAAGGGCCAUUCACUCUGCUCCAACAGGAGUGCUUCCCUCUGAGUUCAGGUUCAUCCCUCUUCUUAAAUCUGACCUUCAGACUGUCUUUUUCAUUGCAGGGCUUAGUAAGGUUUACUACAACACGGGCCAGCGCUGCCCUUGCUGAAGCAGGAGGUUGCUAACAGGUGGCACUUAGCGCUACACAAGGAAAAUACAGGCCUCAACUUGCAGAUAAACCCUUAAAGGUCAAAAAUAACAAAACAGCUCAGCCACGCAGCACUAGCGUCCAGUUUUUAGCUCCAAAGCUGACACAGAAAUAUGUGGCCAGGUUUUCGAAAGAACUCAACAGCUUGAGGGCUUUGUUGAACGUCUGCCUGCAAGCACAUCAGUAGGAACUGCAGGGUUCAGUUCAGAAAAUCUGGUCUGGGCUCGGGGUACUCAAAGAAACUGGCCAAGAGCUCCUCAUCCUAAAUGACCAAAUGAGAAAUAGCAACAGACAAGGUGACCUCACAAAAGUAGAAAGCGCUAGCUGCAAUUAAAAACAACAAGAUUGUGUCCUGAAUUCACACUAGGCUUCAGUUUUCACCAACCCCCCAAAAAUAAAAGUUCCUAGAUGGUCUGAAAGUUCAAAAAAGUGGAAAUUUGAAUGUACAUUGAAACUUAAGCAUUAAAAAAUUACAAAAACAUUCAUUUGUGUCAUGAAAACUUAAACUCGGGCUUCUGACAUUUUAAACUCAAUAACCCAAACCAUCAGCCAUAAUGAUUUCUCCAUCCAAUUCAGCAUUAAUAUUCAGACAAACGUCAGGGGCUGUCGCUUCCCAUAUCAAAGCAAUCCACAUUUGUUUGCAUCCAGAACACCUAAGGAUGUUGUGCUUCUGAUGAACUAGCUGUAAUUUUUAAGCUGAAAUGAAAGAAAGGAAAGAGGUAGAAGAUGACGCCUGAGUGUCUUUUGAAAAACAUCAAAAUGCAUUUUCUUUUAAAUCCCUGAAAAAAGGAUCUGAUUAUUUAGGGAUCCUUUCCUCUUCACUUCAUUAUCAUUAUGUCGUCAGUGCUGGGUUAUCUAAUUACUCAGCUAGAGCUGGAAACUUCAUUUUCAUGUAAUAACGUGUAAGAGGACUACCCUGUGUAGCUUAGUAGUUAGUCCUUAAACAGCUGUAAAGAGCGGAGUCAGGAAGGCUGCAGCACAAGAGGAAAUCCUCAGUAGAAUUCAAGUGCUUUAUGUCUGUCAUAAACAGGCUUCCAGAUCAAAUUAAAGGAAUUUCUUUUAACUGUAUUCACAGUCUCCAAAUACUCUACACAACAAGCUGCCUGAGAUCUUAGUCAUUCUAAGAAAUGAAUCAUAUUCCCCUUGUCAUCUGGGUGUUCUCCGCUGACUGCUAAUUCAUUGUAUAUUGAUUUUAAGACUCUGUUAACACAUUAUAUUUUUGUGUUGAGCCAGGAAGGCUUUUCUUGCUGAAAAAUCAUGUCCCAUCCUCAUAUCUCACAAUAUUCAUUUUUUUUCCUUACCAUUUAUUUCGAAUGAUUGAUCAACACAAUUUAAUCAGCUUUAAAUGGUUCAAUGAAUUGUUCCACACUAUUGUACCACCUACAUUUUUCUACCAGUAUUUAAUACCACAACACUAAGUCUGCAUGUUAGACUUGUGUGUUUGCCUAUUAAUGCAAAAAUUCAGAAGACCAAAUAAUUGCCAGGCUAACACCCUGGGGUCUUGCAGAAUUGUAUCAUUGCAGAGAUUUUGGAAAUCAACUGCUCAGAGAAAUAACUUGUUAUCUAAAAGGAGAAAUUUAA